rnacentral:rRNA from 1 species
CCUGGUCAUUAGAGGAAGUCAAAGUCGUACAGGUUUCCGUAGGUGACCUGCGGAAGGAUCAUUAUUGAAAUAAACCUGAUAAGUUGCUGCUGGUUCUCUAGGGAGCAUGUGCACACUUGUCAUCUUUGUAUCUUCACCUGUGCACCUUUUGUAGACCUAAAUAUCUCUCUGAAUGCUUUAGCAUUCAGGAUUGAGGAUUGACUUUCUGUCUCUUCCCACAUUUUUAGGUCUAUGUUUCUUCAUAUACCCUAAUGUAUGUCUAUAGAAUGUAAUUAAUGGGCCUUUGUGUCUAUAAAUUUAUACAACUUUCAGCAACGGAUCUCUUGGCUCUCGCAUCGAUGAAGAACGCAGCGAAAUGCGAUAAGUAAUGUGAAUUGCAGAAUUCAGUGAAUCAUCGAAUCUUUGAACGCACCUUGCGCUCCUUGGUAUUCCGAGGAGCAUGCCUGUUUGAGUGUCAUUAAUAUAUCAACCUCUUUGGUUGGAUGUGGGUUUGCUGGCCUUUUGAAGGUCAGCUCCUCUUAAAUGCAUUAGCUGACAAUAUUUUGCCAACUGUUCAUUGGUGUGAUAAUUAUCUACACUAUUGAUGUGAAGCAAAGGUUCAGCUUCUAACAGUCCAUUGACUUGGACAAAUUAAUUUUUUAUUAUUAAUGUGACCUCAAAUCAGGUAGGACUACCCGCUGAACUUAAGCAUACA